rnacentral:rRNA from 1 species
GACGAACGCUGGCGGCGUGCCUAAUACAUGCAAGUCGAGCGAACAGACUUGGUGCUUGUUCCUCCUGCGUUAGCAGCGAACGGGUGAGUAACGCGUGGAUAACCUGCCUUUGAGCGGGGGAUAACAUCUGGAAACGAAUGCUAAUACCGCAUAAUAACUUGAAACGCAUGGUUUAAUAUUGAAAGACGCAUUUGCAUCACCUAAUGAAUAUCUCCCGUCCUAUUAGCUAGUUGGGGAGGGAAACGCCCAACAAGGCGAGGCAACAUAACCGGACUUAGAGGGUGGUCCGCCCCAAUGGGAACGGAAACAGGCCCAAGCUCCUUAGGGGGGCAGGAGGAGGGGAUCCUCCGCAAAGGACGGAAGGCUGAACGGGCCACGCCGGGGUGAUGAAUGAAGGUCUCGGGUCGUAAAACUCCGUUGGUAGGGAAGAACCUUGGUGGGAGUGGAAAGCUCACCUAUUGACGGUACCUAAUCAGAAAGCGACGGCUAACUACGUG